CAGGCUUUAGUAGUCUUGGAAGAUGGCAAGUGGGUUUGAAGGAUCAACAAGCAAGCCACCCCAAAGCCCUUCUUGCUCAGGCAGUGGUACCAACGAUGUUGGUAACUUUGAGUGCAAUAUCUAUUUGGAAUUGGCGUAGGAUCCAAUUGUGACUUUGUGUGGUCACCUCUUCUGUUGGCCUUGCCUCUACAAGUGGCUCCACAUUCACUCGCAUUCUCAAGAGUGCCCAGUUUGUAAGGCUCUAAUUCAGUAGGAGAAUUUGGUUCCUCUUUAUGGCAAG